CUAUAAUGGAAAUUGACUAACAACGAUCUAUGAUAUUCUUUUCCGACAGACCUGAUUGGUGAAAUAAUUGAUGUGAAGAGUAUUGUCACUGACCCUCCUCAAGACAAGAACCGUGUUAUAGCGACCAUUAAGAUGGACAAUGAUAUGUCUGUGACCAUGAGUCUCUUUGACUCUCAAGCUGUUAAGAUCCACAAUCCGCUGGAAGUGUCAACCCCAAGAUGGUGGGAGGAAAGCAACCAAACCGAAGCUACAUUGCCAGCUGUACAAUAAUUGCUAAAACAUUUACUCCCUAUUUGUCCUGCAGGUCGUCUGUUUUUGAAUGCCACUCCCGGCACACGCAUAUAAUUUGACAAGGAACAGCUGCAGGGGAGAGUUUUUUUCUACAGGACACUGGGCUUACACCAGCUGCUCCACUGCUAAGGGGAUAUGCUAAGGUGGAAUCCCUGAGCGUAGCCGAGAAUGAUUUUGUCCUAACUGCUUCCAUGGCAGGUAUGGCAACCAGAAUUAUAAUGUUUAAAUGCUGAAUGUGUAAGUUUCUGUGUUUCAUUUGGUUUCCAAACAAAGUAGGAGAAUUGAUUUCCUCUGUAUUGGAAGAGUGACUGAAAGUAAGUUGAAGAAGGGAUGGUGCUAUGUUUAUUGGUCAAACUGUGCCAAGAAACUUCAGCACACUGUCUCAUCUUUCACAUGUCUGCCUUGCAACAACACUAAUGCAGUUGGUGUCCCCAUACACCGUGUGGAGAUGUCUGUUGCAGAUGGUGAAGCUUUGUUUGUCUGUUUUGAUGGGGUGAUGACAAAACUUCACAACAUGAAGCCUAUGAAGCUGGCCACCUUUUGGCUGGUGAUGGAGUCAAUCUGGAUGAAACUCAGGCCCCACCGUUUGUGUCAGACAUGGUAGUAAGACCUACACAUUCCAAGUGAGGGUUAGUUCAUUAAAUUUCACAGCGAAUCAUCAGACCUUUACUGUCUAACGUAUCCUCAAUGAGCGGGUCUGUGAGCCACAGACUACAUUCCUUGAUAAUGGAGGCGACGUUGACAAUGGAGAUGACAACCCCGGUGCCGUCUCAGUGCCUACUAAAGUGGAAGCUGGUGGUAGUAGCCAGGCGCAAGGAGCCGGACAAGGUGAAGAAAGACGCAAGGCUUAGGUGAAGAGGAUUGAAGUUCAAGCCGUAUAUUUUCAUGUUUUCUAUAAUGCUCAUGCCGUUUCCUAGGUUUUUUUUGUCUUUUUGCGGUAUUCCUUUAUGAACAACUUUGUCGUGACUCUUUGGUACUUUUGUAAUUUUGGUUGUCUAAAAUCAAAUAUAAAAUAUAUCUCAUUUCUGAAA